UGUGUAGGCGGUUUUCUAAGUCUGGUGUGAAAUCUCCCGGCUCAACUGGGAGGGUGCGCCGAAAACUGGAAGGCUAGAGUACUGGAUGGGUAAGUGGAAUUCCUGGUGUAGCGGUGAAAUGCGUAGAUAUCAGGAGGAACACCUGUGGUGUAGACGGCUUACUGGACAGUAACUGACGCUGAGACACGAAAGCGUGGGUAGCAAACA
rnacentral:rRNA from 1 species